rnacentral:lncRNA from 1 species
GGCAGGAGAAGGCGAACUGGCUGGGCUCAUUGAGCUGAAGAAUUUCCAGUGACAUUUGUAAAUGACGCUGGUCGGUUCCGGGCUCGGAGCCGCCGCCGCCGCCGCCGCCGGGCCGAGGGUGCAGCCGAGCAGUCUCCGGCGCAGGCUUCCUCCCGGGGUGACCACGAUGUCCGAGUUUCUCCUCGCCUUACUCACUCUCUCGGGAUUAUUGCCUGUCACCAAGGUGCUGACCGCGGGAGCCGAACGAGAGGGAAGUAGGAACCUAGUCCUGACAUCGAGCUCCAGAGAAAUGGCUGUCAGACCUUGGUAGGAGUUAACGUGAUGGAGUGGGGGAAUGCAGGCAGGAGAAAACGAGGUACCCUGGCUUUGCUGAUGUUGUUUAGACUGUGAAAGAGAACAGGGUUUUUUCCUAGUUUAUCCAAAACAUUAAAAAGUAGAGAAUUUAGACAAGAAGAAACAUUAGACUUUGAUGCUUCAUUUUCAGAGACUUGUAAGAAGAAAAAGUGACACCAUGUGAUUUAUUCUCAUGACAAGAUUGUAAAGAGAACAAGAUGUACAAAAACUCAAUCUGUUGUUGUUGUAUUAUUUACAUUUGUACAUGAUGUCUUCUUUAUUCUUCAUGCCAUAUUUGAGUGCUACAAAAUGGGAAUAUACACUUUUCAUAAAGAUUUACAGAGUCAACUUCAGACAAGUAACUUCUUAAUUUAAUGGUAAUUAUAUGGUUUUAAAAAUGCACUUUCUCUUUGCAGCAUAUUUUUUCAAUAGAUAGCUCUAUGUAUGCUGACAUUAAGUCAUUCUGUUGUCCUUCAAAAUACAGUCUAGCUUACUUAAUUUUUGAAAUCUGGAGAUCUAUUGAGUUCAUUUUUGUUUCUUUAAAAUUGAUAGGCAUUAGAUAUGAUUUUCUGAAUAAUCUUUCAAAUCAGCAAUCUAUCUUUAAAAUGCUAAUUGCUAAUCCAAUAACCUAAAUAGCAUGUGAAGUUAAAAUGUUUCUCUCUUUUAUUUUUUUUGCACAUGUGGUACAUUGUAAAAUAAAAUGUAAUGUGUUCUUUAUAAAUACUAAUCAACUCAAUUGCUUUGCUCAUAUAUGAAAUGGGUCAAAAGCAUUUGGCUGAAAUAUUAUGGACCUACAUUAUUUUAAGGGGAAAAAAGCAAGAACUUUUAAAAAGAAAAUGAGUUUAUACUGAUUUUUUUUCAAACAGAUAUGUUUGAAGCCUUCCUUAUAAAAAGCAAAUUUAUUCAUGCUGUUUGACAGCAUGAAUAAGAGAGAUCAUCCCUUUCCUCAAAGUGUCACAUUCUCGUAGAAAAACAGCAUUAGAAAGUCCAACUUUUUACAAGGCAAAAUAGAUACAGUAAGAUUCUUGAGAAAAAAAAAGAUUUUUUUACAGUAAUAUUCACAGCAAACUGUGAACUGAAAUAGUCUAAUGUUCUGUCUAAAGAUGUAUAUAAGAAUUUGUGAAAAUCCGUAAUUAUAUAAUUACUCCAUCAGAUUUAUUUAAAAGAUGAGUUUACUUGUACUGUCCCAUACAACUUUGUCAGGCCUCUGUAGAAAAGGUAACAGAGCUGAUGCAUUUAUGAGUAAAUGAGAUGAUAUAACCACUUAGUUUCAUAGCCAGAAGUCAGUGGCUGAAUUUUGUGGUCAGGAACUGUUUUCCCCAGUCACAGUAUGAGGCUUGUGAUUCACUUAUUGGAACAAAUGGAUUAUACAGUAAAGGUGAAUAAUUGAUAUCACAUUAGAAGAUCAGAAUUUGUACAAAAGGAAUUUUGCACAGUGCACAUUAUUUUGGAGUCUUGUAAAUAAUGAAAAUGUUUGCUUUGCCUUGCUUCCUGGAUAUGUCUCAGGACAUUUCACUUUCUCCAUGCCUUACUUUAAACUCUUUUCUUGUAAUCACCCAUAAUCAUGAAGAGAAUAGUUUUGGGGGGGUAAAUGUUCUGUGCUGUAUAGUCCAAAUGUGACACAGAGCGAAGUUCGGUUCUUUGAUUAGCCCCUCGCCAUUCCACAAAAUGUGUAAAUUUCUCCCUUAAAGAUCUUCUGCAUAAAAUAUAUUUGAAAAUACCCCUGCCCUUCCAAGAAGGAUGAUGUAUUCAGAACUAAAUUAAACAAUUCUGUAGAAUUCUGUGAACUUCCCCCAAAGAAGAUGUGAGUAUAAUACAAGUGUUUUUUAUUUGGAUUUAGAAGGAAUGAGUCUGGCAGAGAAAAGAUAGUUAAGUGGACUAAGGUCUGGCACCUAUACUGAAUUCUAGUUAAUGUCACCUUGGUUUUUCACAAUUGCUGAUAUAUAGGACAAUUCGCCAGGGAUUGAAUGGAACCACACACUAAUUUCAUGUUGGAUCCUGAGUGAUCUUGACACUAUAAUGUUUUUCUGUUUCUUAGGGUUAGAUUUUAUCUAGAGGUGCUACAUGAGGCAAUUUAGCAACAAACCUCAGAGUUUUCUAAUCUACUUGUAAAAAUGACCAAACUAUAUACUGUGGAAGAUGUACCAUUACAUGUAUUAAACAUUGAAUGUUGUUAUAAGGUAAGCUCCUUUUCAAUUUGAAAAAAAUGCAUGUUGAAAGAGAUAUUUUCUGAUUUCAAAAGGGGUCAAUGGAAAUAAUAAACUUAAAAGCCACUAGGGAACAAUUUAAUGCCUGGAAAUAGUUAACUAAGACCUGUAAUACUCCUAUGAGUAGUCUCAGAAUGUUCAAGUUAUUGGUUACAUCUGACUCAUUUGUAUAGCAACUUAGUUGUUGCUUUCUUCUUAACAUAAAAAGAAACAAAAAAUUUUAAUUGAAAGAUAUACAUAUACAUACUUACAUAUGCUGCAUCUAAGUGUUGUUUAUAUAAACUAUACUAGAUAUUUUAAGUACUGAAUGAAUAUUAGGGAACUAUAAACUAUGGAGUCUAUUGAACUACUUACUCCCUUGAAAUCAAUUUACCCUACAGUAAUGGCAUAUCGCAGGUUCUUAUUAAGGGACUUCUUAGAACUACGAGGUGCUAAAGAGUAUGCUGUGGCAUAAUACACAUUUAGCAACUUAUACUCCUGUGCAUUGCUUCACAUCGUGCUAAAACCAUUUAUACAUCCCAUUGUGAAUAGGUUCUAAAAUAUAGGGGUCCAUCUGCUGAUUUUAAAAAAGACUUUUAUAUAUGCAUAUCACAUCCAUUUUCUUCUAUUUUUCUCUCUGAACAGAGACUAUUUUUUUCAUUUUACUCAAUAUUUUGCAGUUUGAAAUUAACACACUACCUGCCUAGCCAUAGGACCCCAAGUGUGGCUAAUUGGGUCAAUUCACAUAAAUGCUAAACAUAUUCAUUGCAUUUUAGCAGCAUGUAGGUAUACAUAAGGUGAAAGAAACUUCAUGGCAUCCAAUGGAAUCUUCAUUAAUUUUUCUUCCUGAACUAUUUUUUCUUGUUUCCAAUAUACAAAAAAAUUUCUACCAUCUUUCCAAUGGUCUUCUGCUAACAUUUCAUUGGUCAAAAUUAUGCCACUCUUUUCUACAUGCAAGAGAAAGUGGAAAGAGUUUAUGGAAAGGUGGGCAAGGGGGCUGUGUUGGCCAUGACUUGCUUAGGCCGGUUACGAUACAUCCUUUUGUGUUAAUGCAUUGUCUUCCUGAAGAAGGGUAGACUGCUAACUUUAAGGAAAAAGUAUCUAAUGUGAACAUUAGUGUCAUGGGGUGAGGACAGUGAAUUGGCCAAGAGCUAAUCACUUUCAUGUGGUCUUUCAUGUGUAGAAAGAAAUGUAGCCAUUUUCUCAUAAUUAAAAUGCAGAAUUAGUUCCUUGAUCUACACCUUUAGAUUUAAGUCUAAAACCCUCUUUCCAUAACAACUAAGUGGUUUGAAAUAGAGUUGGGGAGAUUUUUCUUCAUGACAUUAUUUUCAGAGGACUUGGCUAUACUUUUAAGAAAUGUCUUUUUCAGCUCUUAGUUAACUUCCAAAGUUCAAAACAAAUAAAGACAACCUUAUUCUUUAUUAAUUGAGACAUAUAAAGAGAGAAGAAUAUUAUCCAAGUGGAUCACUAAUAGCACCUAUCACAUCAAAAAUGGUGACAGUGUGUUUUCCAACUUCACAGUGUUCUUUAAACACUUCAGCUUUAAAAUGUAAAUACUUUGCCAAAGUGUAAAAGAUGAGCUUGCCUCCCAAAAUAGAAGUGUUAGAUAAAUAUGAAAUGACAUUUGUACUUCAUUUUUUAAAUGAACAGUCUUCUUAUUCAGUGCUUUGCUUAAAGAGCAGGCAAUUACAGAAGGUACUCCAGGUAAUUAAGGCAGAUUUUAUCUACUUAGUGGUUAAUCAGAAAAUAAAAUAUCGCCAAUGAGAGAAAUUUUCAAGGAAAUCCAUUUAGAAUAUUUGGCCUUAUCUGUGAAGUUAUUGUAAUUAUAUCUUUUCUUUACCAGAGACCUGUUGAAGUAAAAUUGAAAUUAUUAUUUUUAAAUUCAAAAAGUUAGACUUCAUAUUAGUUAAAGUUUAGCAUAGCCUUGAUAUUUCUCUAGCUUCUAAUAUUAGUACAUUUUGCACAUAAAUGAACUGUAGUAAUAACCUAGAAACCACACAGCCACUUAAAUUCUUGAAAGGUGAAAAUUUUAUAUGAUAAGAUUCCCCUAAAGGCUAUGAAUAAGUUAGGAACAAGAAUACCAAGUGGAUAGUAUUUUGUAUUGCUGGUUCAUUUUUCAUCAAGUCAACUUGCAUAUUCUGGUUUCACAGUUCUGCAUAACUCAUAUAAAUAAUUUACACACUAGAAUCAAAAUGUGGAAAUAAUUGCUAGAGAUUAUUUGGAGUAUUUUUGUUUCCAAUAUUGAAUACAUCUGUAAAAUAAAGUCUUGAAAA